rnacentral:rRNA from 1 species
UUGAUCCUGGCUCAGGAUGAACGCUGGCGGCGUGCCUAAUACAUGCAAGUCGAACGGGAGCCCUUGAUUUCGAUUGAGGGUGAGAGUGGCGCACGGGUGCGUAACACGUAGCUGACCUGCCCUUUGCAGGGGGAUAACUUGCCGAAAGGUGAGCUAAUACCGCGUAGGCUCGUCGGGAUUAGAAGCCCAAUGAGUAAAGAGAUGGCAUCGGCAAAGGAGGGGGCUGCGGCCCAUCAGCUAGUUGGUGAGGUAACGGCUCACCAAGGCGACGACGGGUAGGGGGCCUGAGAGGGUGACCCCCCACACUGGCACUGAGACACGGGCCAGACUCCUACGGGAGGCAGCAGUAAGGAAUAUUGCCCAAUGGGCGCCAGCCUGAGGCAGCAACGCCGCGUGGAGGAUGACGGUCUUCGGAUUGUAAACUCCUUUUCGGUGGGAAGAGGACGGACGGUACCACCGGAAGAAGUCUCGGCUAACUACGCGCCAGCAGCCGCGGUAAAACGUAGGAGGCGAGCGUUAUCCGGAUUUACUGGGCGUAAAGCGCGCGCAGGUGGUGGCUGAAGUGGUGCGUGAAAGCUCCCGGCUCAACUGGGAGAGGCCGUACCAAACUCGGUCACUGGAGACAGAUAGAGGCUGACGGAAUUCCGGGUGGAGUGGUGAAAUGCGUAGAGAUCCGGAGGAACACCAGUGGCGAAGGCGGUCAGCUGGGUCUGAUCUGACACUGAGGUGCGAAAGCGUGGGGAGCGAACGGGAUUAGAAACCCCGGUAGUCCACGCCGUAAACGAUGCAGACUAGAUGUUGGAUAUCGAAAGGUAUUCAGUGCCGCAGCCAACGCGAUAAGUCUGCCGCCUGGGGAGUACGGUCGCAAGGCUAAAACUCAAAGGAAUUGACGGGGGCCCGUACAAGCAGCGGAGCGUGUGGUUUAAUUCGAGGCUACGCGAAGAACCUUACCUGGACUUGACAUGCUGGUAGUAGGGAACCGAAAGGGGACCGACUUCG